AUAAUUUGCAAUUAAUUUCUAUGACUUGAUAUUUGGGUUCAUAUCGGAGUGAAAGUUGGUUACUACGAAUAUACAAGCCAUUUUUUAAAUAAUUACUUGAAAUGUAUAGGAUUACUUAGGAUGUGUCCCAAAUUGUACCCUGUUCCCUAUUUAGUGCACUGUUUUUGCUCUUUUCAAACGUAGUGCACUGUAAGGAAUAGGGUGUCAUUUGGGACGCAACAACAGGACACUGGAGGUGUGAGCACAGUUCAGCUGUCAGGGUGGUAUUUGACCUUCGACCCCUGUAGAUGUGGCUGCCCUACGUGUGUUGUGUGCAUCAGUGAAGAGCAGUGACUACUGCGAGUACAUCAGACCGCCCACAAACCGCUACCGCACACUGGAGUUUGGCAAGUUCGACAAGAUCCUUGUGAGUCUCACUCCUUGUCUUCGACAUGGGGAGUUGGUCUGUCAUUCAGUGUCUUUUUUGCUUCCUCUUGCUCUCCCUCUUACUCUAGACCACACUUCUUCACACUUCAUCUAUCUUUCCUCCUCCUUAGUCAAAAGUGUGAAAAGGAUUUAAAGGAUUGCCGGAGAUUAGCUACAUUAGAUUCAGCCUUUGUUUGUGUGUGAGAAUGAUGUGUGUGUGCAGGAGGUGGGUUACCAGCAUGGCAACACUGUGUUCGAUGUGUGGAUUCACAGUGGAGUGGUGGAGAUCAUGCUGUAGGACCACCACCAGGAGGAGUCUCGUAACACACACAGCAACAACAAUGGACCUGUGACCUGUCCCAACGCCUCCUUCACUGACCUGGCUGAGAUCGUGUCCCGCAUCGAGCUGGCAAAACCUGCUCUGGUAGAUGGUGAGGCUGCUGAUCUUAUCUGCACAUAGAGCAGCAGAGUGCUGUGGAGGUCAUGGAGGUCCAACAGGCAUCAAGGUGUAGGCAACAACAAGACCAUAAUACCAAAUGACCUCUGAGACCUAAGCUAUUUGGCAACAAAAGUGCCAUCCUGUUUUCACAACCUCACUGCAACAUUUUCACAACUUUGUAAAAAGUAUUUUAUUUUGCCAGCUGGGAAGCUGCGAGCCAGUAGCUAGUUAUCUGUUUACUUCUCUGUUGCCAUCACAGCUGGAGUAGUUUAAUAUGUAUGUUUUUAGUGCCGCUCUGCUAGCUUUUGACCCCCCUCUUGUCUCUCUUUCAUGGGAUUGGCUCGCUGCCUCCAGUACAUUGCUGUCCUGGGGAAAAUAAAAUAUCGUUUUAUUUUUGUC